UCAUGGGAGAAGCGCUAAACUUUACCUCAACAUUUAUGUAAAAUUAAAGCUGCACAGAUUCUAAGUCUUGGAAGUUUAUUUCAAAGAAAAGACAAUGCCUGUGCCACAUAUUUGACUUGGUUUUAUAAAUAUUACGAAGCUCCAGGAAAUAUGAGCAGGAUCUCAAAUAUAUUCAACAAGCUUCCAAUUUUUGUCUUUUGAGAUGGUUGCUCUUGGAAAACAGAAAUACGCUUCAAGAUGUCAAGCCUCCUCUGCUGAUGCCGUAUGGAGAACAGACAAGCUUUCCCAUCAAGCCCUAACCAAACUGCACAACUGUGAAUAAAAUCAAUAAUUGUUAUGAAA
rnacentral:antisense_RNA from 1 species